rnacentral:lncRNA from 1 species
GCCAGGUAGAACUCAGAGAGUCCUUAAGAGAACCAUUGAACAAGCCCCCAGGACAAUGGAAGCCUAGAAGGAAAAUGGCCCCCAAGAGGGUUUGUGGUCAAGCUGGGGUAAGAACUGGAGCUCCACCUCCCAGUUUUGUGUCUUCUCCUGGGAUCCCUUUGUCAUGCUGCCACUCCUCCACCCUGACCCCACACCCCUGCUCCUUCUACUGUGCAGAGUAGACCAUUUCUCUUACCUUUGCAGGAGGAAACUGAGGCAUGAAAAAUGCCUCACAGAAGAGGGUUAGGGACACCUCCAGGAGCAGAGGGAGUUUCAACCCCACCACCUCCUCACCCGGGAAGUUGGAUCUGCCUCCACUCCACAGAAUGUGAGAGCACCCAGCCCUGACAGCAUUAAGGAGCCCCUUCCUGCAUUCCUAGAGAAGUACGGAUACCUCAAUGAACAGGUCCCCAAAGCUCCCACCUCCACUCGAUUCAGCGAUGCCAUCAGAGCGUUUCAGUGGGUGUCCCAGCUACCUGUCAGCGGCGUGUUGGACCGCGCCACCCUGCGCCAGAUGACUCGUCCCCGCUGCGGGGUUACAGAUACCAACAGUUAUGCGGCCUGGGCUGAGAGGAUCAGUGACUUGUUUGCUAGACACCGGACCAAAAUGAGGCGUAAGAAACGCUUUGCAAAGCAAGGUGAGCACUGUUAAAAUCCGGCUAGGCCAAGAUUUCCCAAUGUCUUGAAGCCAAUGGCUAGGAAAACAGCUGAGCCUGGGACUGGACUUUGUCAGUAACCUCUCUUCCCUAGGGCACGGGAGGAGUGGGUGAAUAGGACCUCUUGGCUUGAGGACCAUGAUUGUGAAUACAGACAUUUAAUUCAGAAUGACACCUACAUUGAUGAAUUUUCAUUGUACAAGUGUUUUUCCAGAUCAAACACAAAACCCAUGUAAUUCCUUGAUAAAUUUUCAAUGCAGGGCAGAUAAACUGUUGCUAACAUUUUUCAUUUAUAUUUACUGAAGUUAUUUUCAUCAGAAUUCAUUCUUUUUCAUAAGUUAUUAAACAAAUGUGUGAUCUAUUGA